rnacentral:rRNA from 1 species
AUGAAAUCAGAGUCUCCCUUCGAUACUGCUAUGCAGAGAUGGCUACCGGCAUUCUCGAGGUUCAGCUUGGCUCCUUUGCUGAAGAGUAAUGUGGCCACUCGUUCAUGCCCCUGCUUCACCGCCUCUAGUAAGGCUGGAAAAUUGCUGCAGGGAUGCAUUUUGACGAGUGAGCAUACCAGUCAGAUUGAUAUCAGUCCCUUCAUGGAUAAGGAAGUGCACAACAUCUUCAUACCCUUUGGAAGCUGCAAGAUGCUGCAACGAAGAUGCUUGUUACAUCAGGCAUGCAAUAUUUAUCAUGGAGGGCGCAACAUUUUGAAUUAG